ensembl:lncRNA
AUGCAGAAGCUUGGGGAACAGCAGGAGAGCUCAGCCAAAAUAUCUCCUGGGAAGAUUUCACUAGAACAAAGAAGCCUCUCUCUAAAUAUUACUGUUGGGUCUUCGAUAGCACACAUCAGCCAGGCAGAUAAUUCAAGGACCUUGUGUCCAAUCAGUGGAAGCUUUGAUGAAUCUGAAGUUUACCCUUCUACUCCAAUUGUGGAGAGCCAACACAAGCUUCCUCCGGCUGUCUCCAUUACAUCAACUACUGCUGAAUCACCCUCAGAGACCCCCACAAGGGCAGACAAGCUCCUGGAUAAGCACAAAUGUCUUGAACAUUCAGGUAGUCUCUCUGAAAUGUUGGACCUGGCUGGAGACCUGCCCCGGCCAUCAAUAGAGAGGAGGGAGCUUGACCACAUGAGGCGAAGGUCCGUGCCAUCAGCUUUGGUGGGGAGUUCACUGGCCAAGCUUGCCUUGGUAGAUCAAAUCUCAAGAGUGGUAGGAGGGGAAACCCAACUGGAGGAAGUGGGCUACUGUGUCUUCAAUGAGUACUCAGGGCCCAUGCCUUCUCCUGCCGAUGUACCCAGCCCUGGAGACUCUGCGGACCAGCGUUUCCCGUCAAUGGAAAGGGAAGUUGAGGAGGAACUUGGGGCCACGGACGUUGAAUGUAAUCAAAAAGGAACUCAACCACAAGAUGGCAAGGAAAUUGUGCCUGAGAUUUCUAAAACAAAUGUGUCAGAAAAGAAAGAUUCACCAGUGAUAAGUACCCUGAUCUUUGAGAGGGCCGUGACAAGUGGUGUAAAACCAGAUCGCCUAAGAAUCCCAUUGGCUUCCUCAAAAGGCAAACUGACUGAGUUUCGUUUGGAGAGUGGCCGACCCGGGGACAUAAAGAUCCAAGCAAUUCCAGAGGUAGACAUUGAAAAGGACCCAUCCAGAGAGGCUUCUCCUAUCCCACCAGACAGCUCCUUUACUUUCACUCCGCUGGAGACUGGAAUCAUGGUCCCCCCGACUCCCAUCACUCCCAAAACCCCAGAUGACACACCCUCAGACACCAAAGUCACUGGAGAGAAAACUGCGAAUGAUGUCCGACCGGACUUCAAAGCUGAGAACGAUCCAGAGUCAGAGAGGUUUGAUAAUAAGCACAGUGGCAAAGAAAUGCAUAAAUCUGAGCAGGAGGAAUCAAAAGAAAGAGGCUGUGAACCAGAAAUGGCAAACACACCUUCAGUGUCAUCUCUGCCUCUUGGAGAGAGCACAGAAAAGGAUGAAAACAAGAUUCAAAGUGACCAUGUGACACCUACACAAUUAGAAAGAAUAGAAAGGCAAGAUACCUCCGCUGGUCAGAAUUUAAGCACUGAAAAGCCAAAAGGUGGGAGAGAUGACCGUAUCCAGUUCCAGGAGGCAGCAAAAGAUCCAUCAAAACCAAUUGUAACCUCCCCAGUCAUCAUUAUACCUCAAGCACAAGUAGAGGAAGAAGCAGAUGAUGAGGAUGAUGAUAUUGAGAUUGCUGAAGAGCCUCAAGAGGUACCUGAACCUGAAAUGCCUGAGAGUGUAAUCAAGAUGCAGCUGACGGUAGCCGAUCAGAUGGCGGAAGACGAUCCUAAGUCCGGUACAGAAGACUGGAGCCACAGUAUGCAAACCAGUGACGAUGGGGACCCUGCGACGGACAUUUCACACUUGUCUCCAUGCUCUGAUCACAAUCUACCUUUGUCACCGGACGAAGGUGGUAGAUAUGAUUGGAUAGCAGAGGACCAAUUCAGAGACAAACAUAUACUUAUGGAUGUAGGAGAGGUUGAGGCGGUGAAGACAGACCCAACAGCGGAGGAGCAACUGCAGGAAGUUGGUGCCGAUGGAGUAGGCGAAGAGACAGACAGUAAAACAACAGCGGAUGAGUGCGAGGAGAGGAUGCGUGAAGAGGAGAAAGACAUUGAGACUGGUCAGGAUGUGGAAGAGACCAGUCAGACAGCUAAGGAUGAAUCCACCAUGGACGUUUCCCUCCUAGAUACAGACAGUGGUUGGAUGGACUCACAAGGUACCCCGAGCUUGCAAAAUCAAUCACAUUUAAAGUAA